rnacentral:rRNA from 1 species
GGACACAGUAAGGAUUGACAGAUUGAAAGCUUCUUUCUUGAUUUUGUGGAUGGUGGUGCAUGGCCGUUUUUGGUUGGUGGAUCGAUCCGUCUGGUUAAUUCCGUUAACGAACGAGACCUCGGCACUCCGAAUAGCGCGGCGGACGUCGCGGCCUCCGGGCCGUCUUCCGCACGAGCUUCUUAGAGGGACCGUCCCCCCGCCGGGGAAGGAGGUGCGAGGCAACGACAGGUCUGUGAUGCCCUUAGAUGUUCUGGGCCGCACGCGCAUUACACUGACGCGUCCAACGGGUGACUCCCGACCCGAAGGGGCCGGGGAAUCCGCAAGGCGCGUCGUGAUGGGGAUUGAACGUUGCAAUUGUUGUUCACGAACGAGGAAUUCCUAGUAGGCGCGGGUCAUCAACCCGCGCCGAUUACGUCCCUGCCCUUUGUACACACCGC